rnacentral:rRNA from 1 species
UUGGCACUUGGCGGGUGCCUAAUACAUGCAAUGUCGAGCGGACCGAAGGGAGCUUGCUCCUUUAGGUUAGCGGCGUACGGGUGAGUAACACGUGGGCAACCUGCCCUGCAGACUGGGAUAACUUCGGGAAACCGGAGCUAAUACCGGAUAACACCGAAAACCGCAUGGUUUUCGGUUGAAAGGCGGCUUUUAGCUGUCACUGCAGGAUGGGCCCGCGGCGCAUUAGCUAGUUGGGGAGGUAACGGCUCACCAAGGCGACGAUGCGUAGCCGACCUGAGAGGGUGACCGGCCACACUGGGACUGAGACACGGCCCAGACUCCUACGGGAGGCAGCAGUAGGGAAUCUUCCGCAAUGGACGAAAGUCUGACGGAGCAACGCCGCGUGAGCGAAGAAGGUCUUCGGAUCGUAAAGCUCUGUUGUCAGGGAAGAACAAGUACCGUUCGAACAGGGCGGUACCUUGACGGUACCUGACAAGGAAGCCACGGCUAACUACGUGCCAGCAGCCGCGGUAAUACGUAGGUGGCAAGCGUUGUCCGGAAUUAUUGGGCGUAAAGCGCGCGCAGGCGGUUCCUUAAGUCUGAUGUGAAAUCUCGCGGCUCAACCGCGAGCGGCCAUUGGAAACUGGGGAACUUGAGUGCAGGAGAGGGGAGCGGAAUUCCACGUGUAGCGGUGAAAUGCGUAGAGAUGUGGAGGAACACCAGGGGGCGAAGGCGGCUCUCUGGCCUGUAACUGACGCUGAGGCGCGAAAAGCGUGGGGAGCGAACAGGAUUAGAUACCCUGGUAGUCCACGCCGUAAACGAUGAGUGCUAAGUGUUAGAGGGGUAUCCACCUUUUAGGGCUGCAGCAAACGCAU